rnacentral:lncRNA from 1 species
CAGAGUUUGUUCGUAUACUAAAGAUUGGUGGGAAUUCAGGAAUUGAGGCAGCACUCUUGCAGUAUUUGAGCAUAAUGAUCCAGAACGUGGAAAAUGAACAUGCCAUCUGUAAGCCUUUGAAACUCGCAUCCGACACCAGAUCAAAGAUUGUAUUACUUGUAAUUUUUUAUCCAAGGAAAGUUGAAGGAUAGAGGCAAGACAUCCAGCUGCCUUGCAUGGGUUGGGAUAGCAUCUAAACAGUUCUAAAUGUAGAAUGGAAUAUGAAAACAAUCACAUGCUCAACAACGGCGAAGAUUGAUAUUACUUCAAAGCUUAAUGACCCCCAACUGUCAUGUCAGUCACACAUAGUUUCUAUUACUAACGUCAGAAACAUUAAUGUGCUCUUGCCUGGCUCUCGUGUAGUGCUACAAUAAUGUGCCCUGGAUCUUAUCUUUUGUGAGAACAUGAUCAUUCGAGCCUACAUAUGCAUCUUAUUGGGGGGUUUCAAAUGUAUGUGAAUUCAAAAAGUCUUGUGUUAAGCCAUAGGCUAUUUUCACUUCUAAGUAACUGUAUUUUCUUUUCUUUUCUAAAGCAUUAUUUUGUGCUUACUUCUUCAAAUGUUGCUUGUACAAUUCUUUGGUGUCUUUUCUAAUGUAAACGAUGCAGACUAUUGUUUCAGCAAUGGCUAUAUCAACAGCGUAAUAUCACAUCAUUAUGAGUUCGAUGGGGGAGAUCUAAUUCCUUAUUAUGUAUCCUUUCUGAGGUUGUGUGCCUUACUGUUCUUACUGUCAGUUAUUUAGUCUCAUUUUCCCUGGCUUAAGUUUAUGCCCAAGUAAUUAAUUUUUAUUUUUUGUGUAAUUUGAUCCAGAACAGUUAGUGGGAAAAUAGGUAGAGACACAAUCUGUCUUCUCGUAAAGGUUCACCAGGUAGAUUGAAGCUUAAAAUUUCAAUGAACUUUAUUAGAAAAGACUAUCUUUAUCCAUUCCCUUUUUGUUUGUUCAAGUACUUUACCCUGAUACUUUUGACCGAACUGGUCCAAAGCUCCUUGUUUCUUACAAGUAUUUAUUGCAAAAAGAAGUAUGCAUUUAGCCAGGCUGUAUCCUGCUCUAAAAGAACUUGAAAUGCUCAGAAAUGAAACGGAUUUUUUUUUUGGGCGUUGUUUGAUAAAAUUCCCUUAUUUUAUGAGUUGUUGAAUGUUCACAGGACCUUAGCAUUUAGGAAUAAAAGCUCUUGCAGCUAUCCAUAACGAUUUGCAGUUAACAUGUUAACAUAAUGUUAGAUUAUUUAGAUAACACCUGCCAAUUUUAUUUUGGAAUUGGGAGACAUUUGUUUUGAGGAUAGAAAUUUUAAAUGAUUGGUGCAGUCUAGACUAAGCUAAUUGGGAAGAAUUAGGUCUAACCAAUGUCAUCUAGUUCCACUAGGUCUGCCCUGUAAUAAUGCUGUUAUUGUGCUCUACUAUUGAUAAAAAUGUGUGUUGUCUUUAUAUAGAUUACCUAGAAUAAUGUGCUUUUUGUUAGUUACUCUGUUUUGAUUUUUACCCACUUUGACAGGACACUGCAAUCUCAUUGCCGUUGUAUGAUGAGGCUCUUAAAUUUGCUAACCAUGGGGAAAAGAUGAUACAGAUAGCAGUUCGUGCACUGACCCUUAACAUUUAUAGUGGUACUCUACUAUUAUAAAAUGUACUUUAUUUUAAAUAUAUUGUACUUUUAGUAGGUUGUAUCCAAAUAAUAGUGAUUCUAAGCUAUUUAUUCAAUGAUGCAGUUGCUGAUGAGAUGGUCUAUCAAUUUCUAACAACUCCGACUGCUUCUGCAUACUUUUCUAGCUUGAUUCUGAAUUUAAAAAAUAAGUGCUUGCAUGUUGAUGCAAUCAUCAAUGGGGUAAAGUAUGUUUCUGUUCCUUUAAAUGUUCAUUUGCUUUUUCCAACAGCAGUUAUCCGCCUCUUGAGAGCUUGUCAUAACUAUGAUGCAGGGAGAGUUUCCAUGAAAAGAAAAGAGAACUUCUUUCAGAAACUGAUAGAAUUUUGGAUGACUUCUAUUACCUGAAGGACAUACUGUGCAUUCCUGAGCAGCGCUUGAACAAACUUGUUACAGAGAACAUUGUUAACAUGCUUAUUUUGCCGAUGUUGCUUACUCUACUAAACAAUAGGCUAAGCAAUGUGAGAUAUUAUUCAGUUAGGCUUUGUUAUUUUGAUAUUUUGUCUCCUCAAUCUACUGGACUUCAUCAGAGGUGCAUUUUUUGGCUCAUAAUUUUUGGGGAAAACUAUUUUCCAGAGGAUCAAUGUAGUUUCUAAUAAAUAAUGAAGAGGAUGAGCAUAUAAAGUCUCUUGCCACUGACAUUGGUUAGAAGAAACACUUGAAGAAUUUUAACUAGUAAGCAAUUAAAGUUAUGGAGGGAUUGUAGUACUAUUAGUUCUCUCUCUCUCUUUCUGGGUAAGUGGGAGGUCUUGAACUCAAGAUCUCCUACUUACAAUCCUUCCCACCUUAUCACCCACCCAACCCUCCCCUCCGUAGUACUAUUACCCGUUGUUAUGCUUUUAUGUAGCGAAAAUAAUUUAUUAUCAUUCCAUCCCAGCGCAUGUUAUUAUUCUUGCAGAUAUUCAUUUGCAUUUCCUUCAGUGCUGUUCCUUCUGCACUCUAUCUGAAACCAUCAAAAUCAAUUUUCAUCCAAACAAAUAUUUCUUUGUGGUUCAGAAAGGCAUUUACAAACGUGGAGUCAUUUGUAUAUGUGCACAAUAAAGUUUGAUAUUUAAGUGUUUUACAAGAAUAAUAUCUCAACCUUUUUCAUUAUUCCUUCAGGACACUGGUCUAUCUGCAAUCACUUGUCUCUAUGUUCUUUGUCGUCUUCUUCAAGUUUUUGAUGGAACGAAUUUGGUUAAUGUUAUCGGCAGUGCUGUUCUAUUUUCUUUUAUGCCUCCAAAUGUGACAGAUGCUGCUGAGUCUGUUGUAUCUGCUAGACUUGAGCAGGUGAAUGGUCUUGCAGUCUGUUAUCAGGAAGGGGAAGAAAUGGUAGAUCUUCAGCAUGAGGGGGCAGAAAACUUCAUGAUGAACUAUGUUCUUAAGCAUUCAUUGGAGUUCACAGAACUGAGCUCUUGUUUUGACAGUUCACCGCUGGAGAAUUCGGAAAAUGAAUGGUUAGUGGUGGGUUUUAAUGUGAAUCCCUUUUUUUUUGCACUGUACAUGGAAUCAUGUAUUGGAUUUUGAAAGUAAUCUGUUAAUCUUGAUACCACCAGUUAAAUUAUUUAUUUAAGGUGCAUAAUAAAAUUAAUUUAGAGCUUUAGAAAGCUUUCAAAAGGUCUAGAAUAAAAAGGUGCAAUUAUUACAGCUGUUACAGAUGCAUGGCGUAUCACCAUAUCUGGGCAAAAAGUUUGGUGGUCAUAGAAGUGACAAACUAAGUGGCAUCAUUCACAAACAUUUGGAAGCCAUAAUGAUCAGCUGAAUAGUAGAUUAUGAAGGACUUUGCAUUUGUUCUUCUAUCUGUGUGUAAUACAUAGUGUUUUAUUUCUGCUGUUUGCUUCAUAUGCAAGUUCAUUUUGAUGCUUAAAAUUGCCUCUACUUAUUGAUCUUAUAUUAUAUGUGAAACAAGGGGGCUUGCGGAUCAGGUUUUCUUGAGAUCCUGGAUGGCUUUUAUCCUUAUCUAUGUCGUUUUUCAUUACUAUAUGUUUGGUACCUUCUCUCUUCUUUUCUAUCUGUUUUGAGUUCUGUACAAUAAAAGCGGCUCCUUGUGAAACUGAAUAAUAUGAUGCAAAAUUCUUGGAGAGGAUGACAAUAGAUGCGGUUAAUUGCCUAAUUUUAACAGUGAAUAAGAUGUUCAGUGCAUUUCAUUUUUUUUAUCUGCAAUUAAUUUGAGCCUUAUAAUUAUUUUUCUGAUGCAGAAAUUUCCAUUAGGCUUGUCCUGACGGUAACAAGAUUUGUAUUUGGAACAUUUUGCAGGGGUGGAAUAUUUAGUUGUAUUUUCUCCCGUAAUCACAGUCUAAUGCUAGGUUCUUUGAUGUUAUUGUUUACAGUGGCUGACAGUAAAGGUAGUUUUAUUUUUUCAUCUUUUCUUAUAUGUAUGACUGCUCUGCUAGUUUAUUAUUAUUAUUUUUCUUUUCCUGCAGAUCUUCAUUACCAGUUGGCUGCAAAGAUAGGAUUUUCUCAAGUAAAGGUAAUGGUUUUAUAUUCCCUGUUACGGUUAGAGAACAAAAGUCAUAUGUUCCUGUUUUGUUUUAUCAUUUGCUUACUUUUAAGGAGGGCAUGCCUCAAUAUUGGAGAUUCUUUGUAGGUUUUGUGAUCAUGUGUGACAUUGAAUGUCAUAUCCCUAUUAUUUUGGCGUUUAGCAAAAAGUUGGAUUGUAAUAUUUAGGGAAUUGAUUCCUUGCUUUUAUAUUUAAUUCCCAGACUGCUUCAGAGAUGAUUGGAAGCACUGUUGCAGGACACAUACAGAAGGUAUUUUUUGCCCAAGUUGCAUUUCACCAAUCAGUUUAAUAUAUUGUCCUGCUUGUGAUAGUGAAUUCCAAGACCGCAGCAAGCUGUUGGAUAUGGGAAGUUUCUGCCUCAUGAUUUGCUAAAUGCAUGAACUUGCAAUCUUCCUAAUCAAGUUAGUUUCUCUUUGGCAUCGCCCGCUAUUAUGAUGCUUUUAUUGAUUGUGCAGAUUGUGAAUCAAUUAUUGAAGGUUUUGGCGAGUGAACCACCAUUGUCAGUACCAAUAUUGUUGCAUGCAGCUUGGUUUUUGCGAAAGUUGUUGGUUUUUCUGGACCAGAAGUUAGAGGACAAUGAUUGUCACCUCUUCAAGGUUUGGUUUGAAUUUCUUGUAAUGUUUCCUCAGUCUCUAUCAUAUUACAGUUAUUAGUUGGAAAACUUUUCCUUUUGAGAUGUUCCUGAAAUACUGGUACAUAUCUCGAGUUGGACGAACUAGGUAAUCGCUAGUGUUUGUAUACUGCAAGCCAUAUUGACAGUUGGUGAAUGGAGUUUAUAGGGAAUAAAUAGAGAUUCUGCACCUCCACUCAGUUUGCAAAAGUUUCGUAUUAAUGGUGGUCAAAAUUCAUGUCUAUUGGCGGUGAAUAACAACAUCAGCAUGUUUAUAUAUAAUGUCCUGAGGCUUUUGCAACUGCUGGGUGAUUAACUGGUUCUGUGCUCAUAAAUUUAGCAUUUUGUGCCCCCCCCCCCCCCCCAAAAAAAAAAAAACUACAUCUAUCUGUGAAAUUUGCAUUCCCGUGUAGUUUGAAUAACUCAUAGAAGAUAAUCAAAUAAUUUCAGUCCUUUGAUCUGAAUAAUUCAACACAAUUGGAUGCAAUAAAAUUGUACAGUUAUCUGAGAUAUUCAACUAUUGGUUUGAUAUGACAAAUAAUGCUCAAUCUAGUCUUAUGGGUAUUGAAAAUGAGUAUGUGCAGGAUGCUAACUCUAUAACUUGUUUUUUCUUGCAACUUAGGUGACAAUUAAUUGACGAGUAAUUUGCACCUCAAGUAAUCCAGGUCGUUAGGGCUUCUAUGCUUUGGUUAUCUCUAGGGGAUGUUAAGUCACAAUAUUCUGUGAUGAGGCAGGAUUUAUUUUCAUCCAUAUUGCAUUUUUUUUAAAGAAUUCAUGGAUCAUUAUCACAGCUUCAUUGCAAAGCUUUCUAAUGACUGUAGACAAAAGUGAAUGGAAUUUAAGGAUAUAGUUUUUACCAUGCACAAAAAUUUGGGUAACAAUUCAGGUUGGAUGACCUGCAUUCCUUGAUGGACUAGCCCCUAGUUGCCUAACAGUCCCAUGGAACUAUAAGAUUGAGACAUUGUGUGAUAUGUAGUCAUUGGUUGCAUAAUCAUUGUAUGAUGAGGGAGACAUUUCAUUGCCUAAAAUUCCUUGCAAAUGUAUGACUUAUAAUUUUAUCUCAAACUUUCUAAUGAGAAUUUUGUUUCUGAGGUACGCUGACAGACCUCAUAUGAGGGCUCUUGUGGACGUCUUUAUGAAGAAUUUGAUCGAUGCUGGUUUGACUAUAUUCCAGAUGUGUUAAAAAGCGAAUGGGCCAACUGUAAAACAGGUAUGCAGUGUUUGUUUCAAAUUUUGCCAGCAAAGAAGAAAAGGCUUUCUGGAAAUUUGGGUCAUCAUCCUGCCUUGUGAUUUGUAUCAAGGAAUUUGAUUUGGUCCUUCUGGUGGUGUACGAUUUUACCAUUUUGUUUUCUCAUAAUGGGCUAUGUAAUCUUUUUUGAGCAUUUGUUUGCCUUGUGAGGCUACAGCACUCGAAGAAUCAUCACAGUCCAAGGAUCCUUUCUUUCUUCUAGAACUUGCAUCUAUUCAAAAUCCUCCCAGUGGUAGUAUGGCGUUUCUUCUACUCUCUUCCUUCCUUCUUUUAUUCAUAUUUCUUUUGUUUUAUCUCUGCUGUCUGCUUUUAAAAAGUAUAGUCUUACCACCUGCUAGUUUUCUAUUUAACAUCUCAGGCAAUACCGGUCCUGCUUUUGAUUGGCAACGGAUGGUUGAUUGUGUCAAGGUUAACAAUUAUCUUUUGAACUCUAAUCAUGGGAAUUACCUAACAGAUUUAAUCCUUCACCAUUAUGGUGUUUGGUUUUCAGAGUAUGUGAAAUUGAAUAGGUGAUGUUUAAUUUGGGAGGAAAUGCCUGAUAGUAAUAUUGAUACAAGUACCUACCAAGGAGGCUAAAUAAUGAUGACUGGUACUGUUUUUUCAGUGAUUUCCGGACCUUGUGGGAUGGGAAGUUCGAUAGAACUUUAGGUACAUGAUAUUCAGUCUCUUUAUAGAGCCAAGUUUAGGAGUAUGUCAGCCUUCUGUUUCAUCUGUGCCAUUUGGGUGUGAAUCAGACAAUUUUUUUUUGUGUCAGUUGUCACAGAAACCACAAAAAUGAUACUUGACUAAUUUUCACUGGCUUGUAAACUUGAUAGGUUUUUGUUCUCCAUCUUCAACUGAAGCCAUUUAUUUUUGGGGGUGAUCCUUUUGAUAAUCCUUUAGCAAAUUUGAAAAACAGCUACUUGGCUCAAUCGGGGAAAAGAUAUCCUUCGGAUCUUUCAUUGGCAAGCUUCGGUUCAGAGGUAGCUUUAGGUUGGUUAUCCAUCCUGUGGAGGUGUUACUUAGCAUUCACUCAAAUAUGCAUAAUCAUGUUCUUAAUUGGAGUUUUUAUCUUUAUAUUUUGCUUAAACAUUCACAGGUUCUGGAAUCCCCUGUAAAAUUGCAUUUUCUGGAGCUGGGACAAGAGAUAUUUAUGUGAUACCAAUUGCAAGGGAAAUAUCUGGUAAAUUGCUACUUGUGGAACGACAUCCGUUACACUCUAGAAAAGGAGUUGUAAUUGCCAUUGCUCCAUUGGCUGGAUUGGAUGUAAGUCCUUACCCCCACGUUAUUUUGAAAGUCUCUUUCAUAUUAUUGACCUUUGGGCAUCAUAUAAAUGCUCAAAAUGAUUAUAAAACUCGCUGAAUCAUUCAAAAUUAUGCCAAAUGCGUAAAUCUUCCGAGUUUCUCUGAUCGAAUUUUAAUUACUGUUACUAAGAUAUUAAUUGGUAGACACUUCUUGGAUAAUAUAUAACUGUAGCACAUAUCUCCGCUUAGAACCACUGCAGACCUGGCCUGUUGACAUGAACAGGUCGUUAUGCGGGAACCCAGUGAGUAUGAUCUGGGAGAUGUGCUGAUGCAAUGUGUGAAAUGUCAAUGUCAUCUACUUGUUUUGUGGGUGACUUGGAAAGGUUGUUUGGUCCAAAAUUUUCAUCUAACACUCAUUUCUUCCCCUGUUCGAAUAGCCCAAGAUAGACGAGGAGCAUCCUACAUGGUUGCUAGUGCAUCUUAGAGACUUUGAGCCAAGACUCCGAUCAGAUGAAACGAAAACACUCGACUCCCAUACAUCACUCCCUGAACAAGGAAGAUGGAUACUUGGAUUUUUGAGCGCCAAAGAUUGCAAGGCUGCUUUCUCGGUGAUACUCGAGGAAACUAGAAAACAGAGGUCCUUUGUGGAGAACUUGGUUGCUCCGGUACUGGAAGAGAAAUUGUUCAAAUAGUCGUCAACAAAAUGCUAGGGCAGUUUGAAUGCCGAGUAACAGCUCCUAUAACCCACAACACAUUAAUAAUACCCUGUACAUCUCCUCCUUGUUUUUGUUGAUGAAGCUAAUUAGAUUAUAAGCACGCCUUGUGGUUUUCUAUUCCCUCCAUGUAUUAUAUCUGCCUCUCUAGCAGCAAUGACAAAAACAACACAACGUAUUGAUAAAAGCUACAGACUCUGCUACAGGAUUUUUUUUUUUUUUUGGGGCAAAUCAUUAAAUACCUCGGCUAGGUGACCCAAUCAUUUAAAGGAAUGCAUAGAGUCCGAAGAAAGGCAAUUUGGUCAUCUUUUGCAAGGACAUCACGAUGAUAAUAGAAAUAUUUGCAUCAACAGAACAUAAAAAUUGCAUCAUGAUGCAUAUCAUAGAAAAGAUGACCUGCACUUGUUUGCCACAAAAUCUGGGUUAUACAAGCAUUCCAAUCAAGAUUUCUGGAAAAGAGCAAGAAAUUAUUUGAACAUUAUAUGAAAUGAAUAGCAAAGAAGUUUAGUUCUAUGUGCGCAUAAAUCCUAGUUAGCUGCCAAUAAGAGCAAACGAGAAUAAGGUGUUAUGGGCUCAUGUCAACCUUAUCAUUAGUAGUUAAAGAGCAGGGCGGGCUUACUUUUUUGUUCAUACUAAAAGUGAAAUGCUUGCAUGUAUACGAAUAUUCAGUUAAAAUCAACAAUGCUGUAAGUUCCUUGGGAUGGGGAGUUGGACAUUUUAUUAUCUAAUAGUACUGAAUCAGAGUGAACUUUUUUGCUUCGUUGAUACAGAUAUAUUAAACACCCAAAAAGAAAAAAAAGAAAAAGAAAAAUUCUACUUGUCAAUAUGUAAACCUUGUUUUCUGUUGGUGUUUUUGCUCAUGAGUUUCAGCAUUUUUGCUGUACUUUAGAUGGAACUCAUCUGCCUUGGCAUGUUGCGUUGAAAAAAGGACAUGAUAUGAUAUAGAGCUUAAUUCGGGGUACAAGGAUAACUAUCGCAGUUUAUUUUCUCAAGUAGUAGUAGUUUGUAGUAAGUACUUUCGUAAUUCUAAUUCUCUAAGAAAAUUGCAUGGUCUGAAACAAACUUUUGCAAAAGGAGUAUGUGGUACGCAGUGGCAUCAGCUUUGACAAAGCUGUAUCAUGUCAAAAUUAGAGCAACUUUUUCUCCUGCUACCUUUAAAAAUCUUUGGCCCGCCAGCGAAAUACUACUACUAUUUAGUACUCUUUUUUUUUUUUUUUUUUUGUCGACACGGGCUGUCCGGGUCAAUCCUUACGGGGCCUGAUUAAUCCCCUGCGGGACUCGAACCCUGGACAAGGCAAGAAGGUCACCAUACUCUAAGGAGGGGGAGCGGACCGCUCGAGCUACCCCGCGGGGGCAAAAACCAGUCACGUAGAGUGGCAAGUUGUGAGAGGCAGGGGUUGAAUCCCUGAACUCCAGUAUCCCCAAAGAAGGGGAUGACCACUGGACCAAAUGGCCAGUGGCUACUACUAUUUAUUACUCUCUGCUACGAGAAAGGAGGGGGAGGCUAUUGUGAAAAAAAAAAAAAAAAAGUGCUCUCUGCCUCUCAAAAUUGCUUUCACCACAUGGCCGUGUACAGACCAAAGACGUAUAUUCGAAGCCCAAGAGCAUAAACGUAAUACUAUCAAUCCUUUCUCAUUUCAAUUUAACUAUGGGUUGCAUGUUGCAUGAUAGUGUCUUUGCCUCGAGCAGAAAGAAAAUUAAUAUGAUUAAAAAAGCUACUCCGUCCGUUUGAUAGUUCUGUUUUCCUUUUUCGUCUGUCCCAAAUUGUAGUCUACUUUCUAAUUAAAAAAUGCAGUUAUUUUUUAAUUUAUCUAAAAUACCCUUAUUCAAUGUAGAUUGUUAUUAAUAUAAACUACCUUAUUUAACAUUGAUUGUUAACCUACCCCAUUUAAUACAUUUAGAUUUUUCAAAACAUAUUGAUAUAUGAAAAGCCAGCUUUGUUAUUCUUUCAAGAAAAAAAUGUGAAAUAAUAUAAAAUGAGGAUUAAUUCUUUCUUGAUCAUCAAUUCAAGUUCCUAUAAACCAUCAAUUCAAGUUUUCAUGAAUAAUUAUACUCUAUUUAAUGUAAGAGUAUUUUAGAAAAAUAGCAAUAUAAAUUUAUUGUUCCAACAAAGAUAACUACUUUUUCUUAAAUUAUAUGAAAAAAAAACUAGAACCGUCAAAAUGGACAGGGGGAGUAUUAAUUAUUAGACUCUUCCAAUUAACGAGUUUUGGUCCCUCCAAUGCUCAACAGACAUCAUAUCAAAGAAUUGGUUUCCAUGCUGCUUUGUCAACUCGCAUAAUUAUGUGCCUCUACAUCUGUCAUUAAACAACCACAGGGACUACUUGACACUAUAUAGGACCAUAGUUUUCCGAACAUCGAAAUUAAAUCUGGUGGGAGCAAUGUCAUAAAUGACAAAUAAGUUAUUAAUGGUGCGAAGUAAAAUAAACCCCGACCAAACAAAACCUUAUUAAUUAGGGUUGAUGCAGCCUAAUAGCCGGAAAAAUAGAUCGUGCAUAUUAAUGAACUAGAUGGUAGUAAACAAACAAACAAGAAGGGAUGGAUAGCUACCGUAGCAUUCGCAAGGAAGCAACUUGUUACAGAAAGGAAAAGAUUAAAAAAAGAAAGAACAAACCAAUUUAAUCUUACGAUGGCCCAAAAAAGAAAGUGAAAACAAACUGUCGUGCAUGGUGGCUUUUUCAGCAGUUACCCGAUUAUACAACUUUAGCCGUUAUAGGUGAUGAAAAGAGUGCUACGUUAACAGUAUGGGAAAGAAUAAUCCUCUGUUUGAUUCAAACACUCACUUUUCCAAUGUUGUAGAAUAGUUUUACGUCAAAUUAUUUGUUUCUUUGGUAUGUCUUUUUAGGCCAUUAAAGAUGGAAGAAGCUUUUUGACUGCAACUGAUCAGAAUACCAAUGCUUUAAUAAAAGGGACGUCUUUGUAAUUUGUCGUGUAUUUGUACUAGUAUUUGGUGGAUGGAUGCAAGUCGCAGCUUGCCAAUGCAUGCACAAAUAUUUCUGCUCUUUCUUUCUUGAAAGUUCUCAGGCUUUUUUUUUUUUUUUUUUUUCCAUCUGUGGUGGGGAGGGCAAGAAUAAAGAUAGUUGCUGAUGGUAACGAAACCUAAUAUGUAUGUUAUCAUAUAAAGCAUGCUCGUAGAAAUUAUUGGGAAUUGGGGGUCGGGACUUGUAGUACAUUCCCAACCAUGAUGAGAAGGGCCCUGGUCAUGUAAUAUUUACUCCUGUCAUGAGCGAUGUUAUGACCAUCAGCUUCUAGGGUGCCGUUAAAGAAACAUUCUUAGGGUUUUUCUUUUUCGUGUCCACAUGGUUCUUUUCUAGGACAGGGCCAAAACAUAAGGGAAGAGCAAACAAAAAGAAAUCAAAUCGAAAUGUCUUUUUUAUGUUUUUCGCCCCCAAAUUUGAUUGGCAGAUCUCCAUAUUUGGAUAAAUCUAUGGCUAAGUUAGUUUGCUUUUCUUUUGAAUCACUUUUAGUUCAAAGAGACAAAAGAGCUAAAGUGAGCUGAAUAAACAUUAGUAGUAUGUCAGGGUUUUUGUGCAAAUAAAAGCCAAAUAUGAUUGAGGAAUGAAAGGGAGAUCUCUCGUUUGUUGUGUACAAGAAUAUUGUUUGCUUUGUCUGUAGGGGUUUGAUUCGGGGGUCGUUUGACUCCCAAGAUAAGGUGGUGGUGGUGGGCAUUGGACAGUGAGUGGUGUUGUUCAUUCGCUCUCCUUUCUAUGCCAACAUAAGCACGCUGAUAAAUAUUGAGGCCACUAACUUCUUGCAUGUCAUGGGAGGGAAGGGAGAAAGCAAAGAUAGCCCCCACAAAUUCUUCUAAGAAUCUGAGCCAAAAAAAUGAAGAAGAAGAAGGAAAAAGAGAGAGAGGGAGGGGAAGCCUUGUUACAGCUGCUCAAUUUUCAAGGCAUCACAUUUCAAUUCUUUUGGUUUCGUCCAAGGCAUUACAUUUCAAUUCUUUCUUCCAUAGCUCAUUGCCUUUUAUGUGCUUUCAAUUCUGUGAGGCACUUUCGUAUUGUUUAUUCAAGAAACGUAGCCUUGCGAGAAGAUAGAUCUAAAUCAUUAUGCAACAAGAAUCGCAACUACUGUUUAACAUUUGUGGCUUUGAUUUCUAGUUUCGGUAACAAUUAAGGUCUAACUGCAUGGCUACUGUUAUCAAUACCUAAAUAAUCUAAUCUGUAUUUGAAAUUUAUAGAAUAGUAUAAACCUUUCAAAUUAUUUAAAAGCAGAUUUGCCACUUUAAUUCGCAAUAUUUUUUUUUUCCAUUUUGAAAACUUUAAAAUCAUCUGCGUGAACGUAAUUAAGUCAUCUUCUCAAAUAAUUAUUUCAAAGUCACCAUGUAAAAUAUAAUUAUUUUAAAACUUGAUAAUUGAUCCUUGCUAAAUAGGUGAAUGUCCAAAUUUCCAACAGAUACUUGCCAAGGGUAAACAGAAGCUCUUUACGUCAAUGCAAUAGAACAAUACCAGCUCGGAUACGCAAGUCCUGAUUUGUUCACAUAACUUGAAUAAACCAAGGACUGUUCAAAAGCUUCAACGUUGUGGGACAAUAUUCCAAUAUUCCGUAUGCCUGCGGGGUGUCGGUGCGAGAGAGAGAGAGGAGGAGGUAGGGAGGGGAAUGGAUUGAGAAUUUCAAAAUCCCCAUGCAUAAAGCGCCUCUCACUCUGCCUGUAUAUUUAAUUCAUUGGACGUAUAUCCUAGUUGAUGCAUGUACGUCCAUGUAAACUGAAAAAUGAUCUAUUAUCUGCAAUUACUGUGUAGGAGCCGGAGCCAUUUACCUUGUAAUUUUGAGGCUGGAAGAAAUCAAAUAGCCACCCGCUCACAAUUGAACAGAUCAGGGCUUAUAUCUAUAUAAAAUCGAUUGUUUGAAACAAUAAGCUUUGUUUUUUGUUUUUUCCUGCCCUAGCCACCUGCAUUAUUUUAGUUCUACCCAUCGUUGCAGUUCUUGUUCUUGGCCCUUUGUAUAUAUGUAGGAGUUCCUCUCGUCCACCUUCCAGUCUUCCUUCGUAUUUGGAGGUAACCCAUGCUUUACCUUCCAGCAACACAAAAGUUGGUCAAAAGCUCAAUAUUGCCAAUCCUUGACUGAAGCUGAACAAUCUAAAAUAAGUAAAUAAAUAUAGACAUAUACACACACACACACACAUACACGCACAUAUACAGUAAACGGAUAGGGAGGUCUUUUUAACUGGAGUUGCACCAGUGUAGCGAGUUCCACUUUUGUUCUUAUGCUUUUUCCUUUUUCCUCUUCUUUUUAAAGAAAUUAGCUAGGAGACUGUGGUUCUUGAUUUGUUACAUAAGUGAUGGGUAUCUGUGGUCGCCUUUGUGAAUUAAAUACGAGUAAUUGCAUGAAAGGCAGAGUCCCACUUCCACGUCCCGAACCCUGAAUUCCUGAUAUAUCUGCGGUGUGUAUAUUGAGAGAGCAAGGAAGAAAAAAGAGUAAAGCUGAGUUGCCUUUGGUGUAUUCCUCAUCCUUGUCAGCACAUGCAUUCCACUUUCUGCCACUGAAAUCGACUUUGGACCCCAAAUUUAACCUCACCUCCAAGAAAAGAACAGCCCACCUGAUCCCUCCCCCCCUCCCACUCUCUAUAUUUCAAUCACAUCUCUUUCCACACGUUCCAAGCAUAAUCUACCCUAGAUUUACAGGUUCAAUAAUACUCUUCUGUACCACACAGUACGUACAUAUUGAUUUAUAGGAAGGGAUUUAACAAAGAUUAAUUCAUAGACAUCCCAGACCAUAUAAAUCUCAUACUAGCGUGUAUAUCUUGCUUCUUGUCUAUCUCAUCCGAAAAGAGCACCCUAGUGAGGUUUGUGUUUCCUGAUUGUUCCAAUCCUAUCAAUAAAACUUCCCGAUCCUUUUUUCCAUUUGAUCGUUCACUCAUUCAGAAAUUAAACCAAGAGGUCCCUUUUUUUUUUCUGUCAAAGUCUUCAUGAAACGAUCAUCCAUACUAGAAAUUUGAAACUUUUUACAAGAUCCUUUUGGUGAUACUCUUUUUGCUAUAGAACUCACGAAAUCUGUUCAAGAAGUAUGAGAGCAGGAGGGUGCACAGUGCAGCAAACUCUGACAGUUGAGGCAGCAACGGUCGUAAAACAGGCGCUAGCACUAGCCAGAAGACGCGGUCAUGCCCAGGUAACACCGCUUCAUGUUGCAAACACCAUGCUUUCAGCUUCCAAUGGCCUACUCCGAACGGCUUGUCUCCAAUCUCAUGCUCACCCCCUCCAAUGCAAAGCCCUAGAGCUUUGCUUCAACGUUGCACUCAAUCGUCUCCCUGCUUCUUCAUCUGGCCCCAUGUUAGGUGCUCACUCUCAUCGAAUUCCGAUUUCGAAUUGUGAAUUCGAAAUCGGAAAUUCCGAUUUGAAAAACUCCAUUACCGAAUCCGAACUAAAUUCGAAAUAUAUGAAUUCGGAAAACCCGAAUUCGAUUCCGAUUUCCGAUUUAUCGAUUUCAAAAAUUUCGAAUUCAAUUCGAAUUCGGUCGGUAAAUCAGAAUUUUUCGAUUUUGCACACUCCUAAUCACAUGUCCCUAUCACCUUUUUUCCUCACAUUUAUCAAAUCGCUAUAGUAUUUUUUCCAUGAAAAAUGACGGAAAAUGCAAUUAAAACACAACCAAAAGUUUCAUCGUACUUAUAAUGAAGCUUUAGAAUGCCAUUUUAAAUCAUUUACCAAAGUAUAGAUGACGAGAAAGAGGUUAAAACAAAGAGGAGUUAAUUCCUCUACCAGCCCACCUUCUUCUUGUAUAAAUUGACGUAGACCCUGCAAGCAUCUUUAAUUCGAGUAGAAUUCACAGGCUGUAUGAUUCAUUUCCGAAUUGUAUAUAUAUAAAAAAAGGGAUAAAGAUUAGUUAAUUCUACACGCAUAGAGUAGUAUAUCUUUAGUCAUUAGUUAAUUUGAUCCUUAGUUAAUUUUACACGUUGUCCUACUUUUCUAUAUGGUCCUCGGCAGAAAGUAACAAUGGUUAGCUCUAGAAUCUACUCAGCCCUUGUUUGAUAAUUUCAUUUAGUAUUUAAAUUUAAUGGAUUCAGAUCGUAACAAGUUCAGACGCGUUUGAUAACAAAAAAAUUGAACAUCUGAAUUAAUUAAAUGAUACUGAAUUUCCUAAUCAAAACUUGAUCUAAAAAAUAAGUAAUAAGCUACUCACUUAUCAGCGAAUGUGAUAUACAUUUAAAUGUAUUAGAUUUAGCACUUAAUAAUUCAAUAAUUUAAUGGAUUUAGAUUUCAGUUUUAAAUUGAGUGUGUUUGGAUUGUAAAUGAUUUGAGAUAAUUUUGUGAAAAAAGUACUGUAACACUUUUUUGAUAUGAUGUAUGUGAGAUAAAAAAUGAUUGAAAAAUAUAUUGACGAUGCAAGCAAGUCAGUGCGUGUAAAUAAGGUGUAAUUUUUUAUAAUCGAAACACUUACUGUUUGGAUUAGCAUUUUUUGGGGUGAUUUUAAAAUUUUUUACUGUAGCAGAGUUUUUAGAAUAUAUUUUGAGAUAUUUUCUAAACAUUGAAAAAAUGUAGACUAUUUUUUAUAGUACCUACCUUUUAAAGUACUUUUUUAAACUAGUAACUAGUUUUUGAAAAACUCAACAAUAAUUAGCCAAGAUAGAAAUAUUCACAACUAGUUAUUGGUUUGGAAACUUAAAAAUAUCAAACCUUAAUGAUUUUGUAUAGGUAUUAUUUAAGAUAAGCUUGCAAAGAAUAAUCAAGCAUAAUAAAAUUUUAUUAUUUUGACACACAUUCCACAUAAUUAUUGCCAUGUCAUUAUUACUCAUUAAAGAUGCGAAAGGAAACCUCUUGUUAGUACAUGUUAUCACUCCACAUAGGCAGUGCUUAAGAAAAAAAAAAAAAAAAAAAAAAAAAAAGGAAAAAAAGAAGCAGCUGUCGGUUUAUUGUGAUGGGAGCAAAAGCGUACGCUGCUUCCAAAUUCCAACCGUCAACUCCAUCCUCACUGGUCAUAUCAUCCGUCCAGCAUUCGAAUUCGAUCACCCAAAUAAACCAUCCGGUCCACCUUUUUAAUUACAGUUAUCAUGAAUGGGAAUGAAGUUUAGAAAACAAAAAAAAAAAAAAAAAGAAGAAUGAUUGAAAGUUAGUUGAGGUUGCCAAAAUUUUGCAAACCUACCAGACAAACAACCUCCACCUUCCAAUUUCAUUGUGGCGCCCCGCCCAGCCCCCAAUACGUAUUGCGACUCGCUAGUCCCUACAGCAUUCUUGCUCCGGGACUAUUUCCAAGUGCAGCGCGCGCGCAUUGUAAAACACAUUCUUUCUUUCUUAAUUCCGGGUAUAGUAGUGCCUCAAUACUGUUCCUGCUAUCUACGAUGUGGCGGUCACUUUGGCCUACAAUCGACCGCUUCUCUCUUCACCACUUCAGGUUUGCUCCAUUUUUUUUUUCGGUUACAUUUGCUUUUUAACCUUUUUGUUUUUGUGGGAGCAAAAGUUUUUGUUCUAAAAUCCUGAACUAAUUACAAAAUAACCCAUUUACAGUCAAAUUUCUUCUUUCUACUUUUUCCUUGGGCCCGGAGGGGGGGGGGCGGUGUUGGUUGUGAAUCAGUGGAGUACAGAGUGGAAGUGAAAUUUUGUUGCAACGAUGCAAUUUAAUCAGGGUUUAAAGCUUUGUCUUCAUGGUGAAAAUUUAUCUUGUAGGCAGAUUUUUAUUACAUGAUCCACAGAGGAAAAUUAUAUCAUAAGGUGGGGAAACAUUUUUCUUUUUGAUUAAGGCUGGCAGCAUCCUCGACAUGCAUUUCAGCCACAUAAAACUGUUGGCUUUAACAUGACCUCCUUUUGGGUUGAAAAUUUUUGUGUUUCUACUACAUUUAUUCUUGUUCUACUAUCUCCCUUGUUUAACUGUCUUGUGUGAUCCAAUUUUGGAAUUUAGAUAUAUUGUAAACCAACUGCGGGAAAUCAGAGUCGUUGACAAGCGCAACCGGGUAUAGAAUCAAUUCAUUUCCCACUUCGAUUUAUCAAAUUUGCCUAAUGAUCUGUUUUCUGCGGUCUGAUAUCAGCAACCCUUCUCUCUUGCAUGAUCCUCUUCCUCCAGGAAGUAGUUUUGGAUUUGCUUCAAUCAAUUGUGGAAAUAGUUACCUAUGGCGAUCGGCAUGAUCCAGCGAUUUUCGAGUUAGAAACAUUGCAUCGCCCUACUUUUCUAGAUCCUCUUAAUGUGAAUAUGUUGUGACACAUCCAACUUGAGUUUCCUUUUCUCUUCCUAUAGAUGUUUCAUGGAAUUUCAAGUUUUAGCAGAGUUUGUUCGUAUACUAAAGAUUGGUGGGAAUUCAGGAAUUGAGGCACCACUCUUGCAGUAUUUGAGCAUAAUGAUCCAGAACGUGGAAAAUGAACAUGCCAUCUGUAAGCCUUUGAAACUCGCAUCCGACACCAGAUCAAAGAUUGUAUUACUCGUAAUUUUUUAUCCAAGGAAAGUUGAAGGAUAGAGGCAAGACAUCUAGCUGCCUUGCAUGGGUUGGGAUAGCAUCUAAACAGUUCUAAAUGUAGAAUGGAAUA